rnacentral:rRNA from 1 species
CCUACGGGUGGCAGCAGUAGGGAAUCUUGCGCAAUGGGCGAAAGCCUGACGCAGCCAUGCCGCGUGAAUGAUGAAGGUCUUAGGAUUGUAAAAUUCUUUCACCGGGGAAGAUAAUGACGGUACCCGGAGAAGAAGCCCCGGCUAACUUCGUGCCAGCAGCCGCGGUAAUACGAAGGGGGCUAGCGUUGCUCGGAAUUACUGGGCGUAAAGGGCGCGUAGGCGGACAUUUAAGUCAGAGGUGAAAGCCCAGGGCUCAACCUUGGAAUUGCCUUUGAUACUGGAUGUCUUGAGUUCGGGAGAGGUGAGUGGAAUGCCGAGUGUAGAGGUGAAAUUCGUAGAUAUUCGGCGGAACACCAGUGGCGAAGGCGACUCACUGGCCCGAUACUGACGCUGAGGCGCGAAAGCGUGGGGAGCAAACAGGAUUAGAUACCCUUGUAGUC